ACUCAUGUACAUCAGGGCUCAGUGUGACCCAAAUGUAACUCUCAGGUGAUCACGUUCCAGUAAUUUCUAAUUGGGCACAAAGGUAAUCCUCGUAGACUAUCUGGACAUUUUCUAUAAGUUUGGUAUUUUUUGGAAAAGCCGUGGCAAAAUAAUGAAACUUGAAGAGGAGAAAUAUUUUCUGUAGCAAAACAAGAGAAGUAAAAAGUCAGAUGUGCAUGUGACCUUCUGAGAUCAUCAGAAGCCUGUGAACGAGAACUUAGCGUGUGUGAUCGUGUGUGCGCAUGCGUGUGAGAGUUCUAAGGAGUCCAGGCACAACAUAGUCACACUGGCCAAAUCCUCCAAGGGAUGGAAGGGGAGGCCACAGAGGCUGCUUUCGUCGGAGGGGAGAAAAGCCCAGGGCUGCAGACUCCAGGUCACCCAGUCUCACAGAGCUGGCCGCGCUUCUACUUGUUGUUGAAGCGAAAUCUCAAGUCCUUUGUGGAUUUUUUUCCACCAAUUUAUGCCAGCAGUUAAGUGGGAACAUCUCACAUGUAUCUUCGCAGUCAAGCCAGUUUGGCAUAAGAUAGGAAAUCGCAUUCUAGUUUUCUUUUUCUACUGCUUUACCCGCUGUCCAUCUAGAAGCUGUCUGCAGCGCUUUCACACCUCGGAGCUGAGAGGAGGCCUCCGAGACGCUACCAUCCAAGUCCGCUGAGGAUUGAGGGUUGGUUCUGCAGGAAGUCGGGCGGCCUGCCUGCAGGUGGAAAGUCGUGGCACUGAGGGACGGUGUGGCGGACCCUCCCCUUAGUGAGAGCCGAUCAUUCUUCUCUUCUCAGUCACGGGUUCCAAGUGAGUGGCGUUGCCAAAUCAACUUGUGACGCCAGACUGACACCCUCGGGAGGGGCUGACGCGGUGCCCAGGCGGCUCAGCACCCCCACCCCGCCCGGUUCUCGGAUCAUAAAGGAGCAUCGUUUCACGGCCUCUUUUGUGCCUCGAUUUUCUGUGUGCUGUUUUUGUGCGUUCAGUUGAUUUCGCCGUCUAAAUGGCCUCCGGGCGCGGUGCUGACACGGGCAGUGUCCGGUGAAGAAAGGCUUUUGAGGAUGAGCACCACUUUCAGCAGCACAGAAUAUCACGCUUCUGUGUCUUCUGUGGCUUCUGUUGCGUGGGACGGUGGUGGGUGAUCCUGAAAAGCUUCUGUCAAAGGAGGAUUCAGAAUCCAGAUCCGCACUGUGGCGCCCAUCCUCAAGAUUCUAGGUGUGACGGGCGUCGUCAGUGGGCUGCUUGGCACAUCUUCCUCAACGUUUUAUUCAUUAACUAGCAAAGCAUGCUUUUCCCCAUUUAGCCGCUUACGGCUUGACUUUCUCUCCACGGGGUGCUGUAAGAGAAAGAGCUCCAUGCGCUCAUUGGCCUUAGGCAGUCCUUAGUACACAUUAGGGUGUAAAGGUGGUUUUUUGAAUGACUAGUAUUGUUUGUACUAAGACAAAUAAUAGUAGUUCUUGAUGUCUCCCCCUUUUGUAAAGGAAAUCCUAUGAACUGUAUAUGUGUUAACUCAUGUAAUCCACCCAACUACCCUACAUGGUCAUAGCCAUUACUGUUCCCAUUUGAUGAAGAAACUGAGGCACGGAGAGCUUAAGGGACAUCCCCAAAUCUCCAGAAGUUUCCAGAGCCGGGUUUCCAUUUCCAGGCCCUGGGCUCCAAAGCGCCAGUAAAGCCCUGGGCUGUGUCGACGGUGGCUGACAGGAAACGGGACCCUUCCAUAAACACACACACGGUUCCUGGUGCCCCGCCAUCGCCAGUCUAACGUUAUUUUAGUUAAAACGCCGCUAACGUGGCUCCUGUUAGGAAAUUGAGGUUUCACCGAACUCUGCUCCAUUUUCGGCAACAUGAGUUAUGCUGAGGUCCCCCUUUGUGCCGGAUGUUUGUGGCAGACAUGGCUGAGAUCGGCUUUGGCUUCUCACGGCAACCCCAGGGUGAGAGCCUGCGCUCCGGUCUCUUCCUAAGUUAUGGCUUGCUCAACCUGCAGAGCAAACGCCACAACCACCAGAAACACUCAUGAUGUGCUUCUUUACAGAAAAUCAUUCUGCACCUCCUGACGUAACCACGUACACCUCAGAGCACUCCAUACAGAUGGAGUGACCACAGGGUUCCACGGGGUCCCGGACAGCGCCCGAGUACGGCAACGCCGAGCUCAUGGAGACCGGCGAUGGCCCACGGAUGACAGUAACCAGCCCCCGUGCUGGGGCGUCCUCUCCAUGCAUGGGCUGACCUAUGGAGUCAUUCGUUUGGACUCCGAAGAGAAGCUCUCUGUGCUCACCAUGCAGGAUGUCAGCCUCGUGAUGCCUGGAGGCCGCAGGUUCGUGAGAGCAGGGGCCACGGUCAUGUUGGUGAACCAUGGUAUUCUCAGUGACUAUCCAUGUGCUUACAAAGUAUUUGCUGAAUGAGUCAAUGGGUCUGCAGUUCCAACCAAAGCUAGAAGCUUGACUUUGGAAGAAUGAAAGUAGGUAACAUCUCCAAAGCAGACCCUAUAGCAUGAGAAAAGAAGGGAAGAACGGAGGCAGAGCUGAAGGAUGAAUAUCGGCACAGGAGUAGGUGAGAGUUCCAGAAAUGCUGGGUUUUCACGUGUUUUUAUUUACUUCAUAUCUGUGUUUCCGUCCCUGUGUAGUGUGACUCUCAUAUCCCUCUCAAUUACUACAUUUCUUUACUGACAAGGACAGAGGUGGUGCAUUAGACACACUACUAACCAGCAUACUCUCUCGGACUUGCAAGAAAAUGUAGGAAAACAAUCUAGAAAUGGUAUCUCAGAAAAAAAAAAAUAUGAGAGUAAAUGUGGGAAAAAAAAUCAAUGUUUAAAGACAACUUCCCAACAUAUUUAGGAAUCUCUGGGACCUAAAAUUUCAUCAGGACUCCCCACACUUCUUUCUUUUUACAUUGCUGUGUCUGCGUGCGUGUGUGUGUGUGUGUAUUCAACAGAAAUCUACAAAAAAAAUGCUAUUGCUAGAAUAAUGCUACUACAGGGGAGAAAAAUGUAAUCUUUUCUUCCACCCAUCUUAGCUUCAUUGGCUGGGGUUCCUAUAACAAAACCAGAUGAACCCCAAAAAAAGCAAACGGAGGCUUAUUAGCAUGUAUAUUUCAUAUAUACAUGGGAGAUACACAGGGAAUGAGGGAAUCUCAAAGAGACAGCUCAGAGCUUUCUUUUAUAUAACAUCUUCAACAAGGAUAAUAAAUGUUUAUAGAAGAGCCAAGCCAAAGUAAAAGGACUUUGGGUCAUUGGGGGCAACAAAUUGUGGGAAGGCCAAUAAAUGAUAGAUUUUUGUGUAAAUUCCUCUGGUGCUGUUUCCCGAACGAUAAGGGUCUGAAGUUGUCUGCAGAGAUUGACCUGCGUCCUUUCUGGCAGAGAGGGGAGAAAGGGCACUUUUUUCUUUGUAUAAUAUGAUUAUGUUGUGUGCUUUUCAGAAAAUAGAGGGAAGGCCAGAGCGCUUCUUAAUUGCCUUCAGCUCAAAAUAUUUUAGCAUGGAGUGUUUUUUUCUCUGCACUAUUCCUGCUGCAGAUAUCUUUAAAGGCAUCAGUCGCAUCCUAAACACUACUUGUGGGGAAAUAUUGAGCAGAACUGGAAUGAAAUAUAUAAUUCAGUCCCACAGAAUCUGAGCCACAGGACACAGAGAACUGCCUGGGAGUCAAAGCAGACAGUGAGCAGCUGACAUUCUAAGAGGCUCCUUCCAGGAGGUCGGCGCAUAAACUCAAGUUCUUUUCACAGAUUUGUCUGUGUUUCUUUUGUUCAAAA